rnacentral:rRNA from 1 species
GUGCCAGCAGCCGCGGUAAUUCCAGCUCCAAUAGCGUAUAUUAAAGUUGUUGCAGUUAAAAAGCUCGUAGUUGGAUCUCGGGUCCAGGCUUGCGGUUCUGCUCGUGCAGACACUGCUCGUCCUGACCUACCUGCCGGUUUUCCCUUGGUGCCCUUGACUGGGUGUCUCGGGUGGCCGGAACGUUUACUUUGAAAAAAUUAGAGUGUUCAAAGCAGGCAGCUCGCCUGAAUAAUGGUGCAUGGAAUAAUAGAAAAGGACCUCGGUUCUAUUUUGUUGGUUUUCGGAACUUGAGGUAAUGAUUAAGAGGGACAGACGGGGGCAUUCGUAUUACGGUGUUAGAGGUGAAAUUCUUGGAUCGCCGUAAGACGAACUACUGCGAAAGCAUUUGCCAAGAAUGUUUUCAUUAAUCAAGAACGAAAGUCAGAGGUUCGAAG